UCUCACAUUUGUGUGAAAACUUGUGAAGUGACAGCGACAAAAUUCUACAGCCAGACAACCUUCAACAGCAGAACACAGUAACUCAAGGUAUUAAGGAAAUCCUAAGAAACCAAAAGGUGCUGAUGACAAGGAUGGAUGACAUUGAGAAAACCCUCAAAGAAAAUGUUAUUGAUAAAGGUCUUCUAUUGGCUCAAACACACACGCUGCGCGAAUGUAAGGUGGUUUUAGCUAAAGUCCAUCACUCCAUUGGACGAUUGGUAGGAGAAAUAGAAAAUCCCAUGCAAAUUGAAAUAACGUCAAGACUACCAAUCUGCGCACUAGACGCCGCGCUGGAUUUCGAAGAUAAACUAAAUUCCAAAGAGUUUGCUGACGAAACGAGACGAGCAUAUGACAAAGUGAUGGUAAAUUUGUAUGCAAAUAAAAAGGAUAGACAACUCACACGUAUUCAAAGUAUGCGAUAGAAUCUUCCCAUGCCUCUGUACAAACUGAUGUAAACUAUUCGAAUUUUUCACGCAUACUAUCCAUAGUUAUACGGCAGGUUUAUGGCAUUAUAUAACGUAUAGUCUUCUUGCUGGGAUAAUGCUUUUUUACGUUCUCUGUGUGACUGUAUAUUUUGUAUAUUUUUAAUAUAAUACAAAAAUAUUUAUUAGAAUAGUAUAUUAUGUAAAAUUCAAAGAAAAUUAUUAAAUA